GCUGGUGUAGCUCAGUAGGUAGAGCAACUGACUUGUAAUCAGUGGGUCGAGGGUUCGAGGCCUUCCAUCAGCACCA
rnacentral:tRNA from 1 species